GCAGGUGCUUUUGGGUAUGUAAAGCAACAGGAGCUUUGAAGAUACUGUGAGGAAAACAGCAUGGAGCAUAGAGAGUAUUUAAGUUCAUGAUUUUUGGAUUGUGGGUUUGGGAGUGGUGCCACUCACAAUAACACGCUUGGACUCAGUGUGAAGCCAGAGACUCAAGGACCUAGGCACACUCAGGAGAGGACAAGUAGCCGACUUGCUGGGAGUUGGCCCAUAUAACACAAAGCUCAUAUGUUGUUUUUGGUUUACUUUAUUGCAGCUGACUGAGAGGUUAACAGGCGAUCGUGGCAGAGGUGCUCUGAGGCAUACUCAUUUCAGAUGCAGAUGGAUAAAAUCCAUAGCAGAGCACCCCAUCCCAGGAAGUAAAGGCAUAUAGCAACAGUCAAGUUCAAGUGGGCAAGGCAAUCUGCUCAGGUUAUGCCAAGCCCCUGUCAUCAACCGGCCGAUGGACCAGGUUGCUUCUGAGUAGCCCUCAGGAAUGACCAAGGAGUUGUGGUGAGUCGGGGAGGUAUCGAGGAGGAGCCGGGGUCCGCUCAGUUCUCAGCUGUGCUACAUCACCUCGUCUCCUCUGAGACGACAGCGUCAGUCUCGGAGUUCGGCCGAAGCGUGCGGCCCGAGGACCCAGUCACUCUUAGGAGGCGGAGACGACAGCCCGGUGACAGCAGGAACCUCCCAGACAGCCUGGUGGCCUUCCUUUGCACCUGAUGUGGAUUCUCAUUCCUGGACAUGCAAGAGAUAAGUUGAGGGCUAUGACUCACAGAGGGGAUGGAAGGGGGCUGCUGCAUCAGGACUCCCUGGGAGGGAUUUUUGAGUCAGGCUUGGAGAUGAGGCUAUCCAGGAAAAGUCAUCUUACGGCCACACAAAAGCAAAGUGUCACUUUUGAUCCCAGUGCUGUGGUCAGGAGGGCAGAGCAGUCCCGGUGUGUAUUGUGUCACUUGUCUAUUGUGCAUUAUGUGUUGUUUGUAUGUCUCAUGUCUUUUUUCUUAGCCCUUUGAGUGGCCUGUCAGAAACCCUGGCAUCAUUCUUGGCAUCUGUGAUCUCUGCAUUUCUUGGCCUGGCACCAAUGCCAUAGGACUUUUGUCUCAGGCUCUCUGAUAGGCAUGAGAAGCGCAUCUCUCUUUAGGAGCUUCCGGUCAGAUGUCUUUGAAGGUCUUGUUCUGAGCUGAAGGGACAGCUGCAGCCUGCAAGGAUCCAUUAUUGUGGAUUCGGACUUGUAAGAAAGCAAGGAUAGGUAGAGGAUUCUGACAGUAGGAUUCUCGGGCAUCCAUCUUUGCAGUUCUUGCAAUAAAUCAUUCAGUUAGCAUCUUCUUACUCCAGGGCUCUCUGAGCAUCGUCAGCGCACCAUCGGUCUCACCUCAGUCCUCUCAUUUUGCAAUCUCUCGGUCCUUGCAGUCCUUCUUGCCCUGAGAUUUCUGUUCCUGUUGUGUCCCCUUUGUUUGUCACGUCCUGUCCUGUGUCACGGGUCUCUGCACAUAUUUGUGCCGGAGCUGCUCUGCCCUGCUGCAUAGCCUGGUGGGACAGGACAAAUCCUGGGGGCUUGAAAUUUGUAGUGUGGGGUGUAGUUGGACUCUAGAUGCUAUUCCUAGGUUGACCCAAGAUGUCUGGAGCUGUGAAGUUGUCCUGCAGCCCUUUGACUUUUGUCCUGACGUUCUUUCAGAUGCAGGUGGAUAAAAUCCAUAGCAGAGCACCCCAUCCCAGGUGAGUAGGUUCCCCUGAGCAGGUCAGUCCCUGUUUGUCUGUGCAGGGGGAGUGUAAAUGGUGACUCUGUGUUACUGCAUUGUUCUUUAU